CAUCAACUGAACUUUUGUGUUCUGUUUGCUUGUGUUUGCAGCCAGCCAAAUCAAUCAGCCAAGGGCCAUUAUGUGCGUGAGUGUGUUAGUAAUGGGUAUCUCUGAAGAUUAUUUCUCAACUCGGCAUGGGGGUAGAGACUAAAGUGACGAUGCCACCGUAGGAUGGUAGACCAUGUAACUAUGUAAGUGCCACGAACAGCAUGAUAUUCUACUUUCAUUCCUUGGUUUGAAUAAUAAUUUGCUCUGCACAUGUAGGAACACAGCGGCCGGGCAAACGAAACUUGGGCAUCUUGAUCGAUCAAGCUAAGCUUUUAAGCGUACAUACAAGUAACUUUGCAAUCAAGUGCUGUUUUUGUUUUUCCAGAUUCACUAAUUGCAUCUAAGGGCUACAAGAUCCCAUGCGCUAGCCAACGUCAAGGUUCAUAUUCAUUUUUAUUGUAUAGAUGGAACGAUAUUGUCUAUAUAUGGACACAAGACGGUACUCAUGUAAUAUUCUAUGAAGACAUGCUCGGACACUUGCAACAUGCCAUUGCUAAAUUAAUCCACUGCGGUAAGGUUGUUUCAGUUUAAUUUAGCAACACUUUGCAUGGUCUAGAUAGCCAAGGUUCUAAAUAAGCUAUUGCUUAUUUUCAUCAUUUCAAAAUGCUUUCGUGAAGCUUUUGUUCCCAUCUAUAAGAUCAAUCACCAUUUUCCCUUUAUUUUUUCCUUUACGAGGUCAGCUAUUUAAUUGAUGAUUCAUUAAACUCAAACAUGUAGUCAUGCGAGUGGCGACGGUGGUGAACAUUAGUCAGAUUGGGGCAGAAGAUGCCGAGCACAAGCAUGUGGCUUGCCCUUGAUUGAGUUGUCAACUCUGAUGAUUGGGGUGGUGUCUUCUGGUUGAACAAUGCCAACAUCGCACAAUGACUCGUCUCAGUUUCAUAUCACCUGUUGUUGUGAUGUCUCUAAAUACAUGUUGAUCUGAUGAGAUAAUAAUUUUUUGGUCAACUAUAAAAUAUUUGCUUCUCUUUACGGCAAUAAAGUUAUUCUCCUUUAUUUAGAGAGCACCAUAGGAGUUCAAAAUUACUUUGUCUAGAGGGAAUUGUCAGAAUCAACCUCCUAACUUUGCUUGCUU
rnacentral:lncRNA from 1 species